UACGAAGGGGGCUAGCGUUGUUCGGAAUUACUGGGCGUAAAGCGCACGUAGGCGGGUCGUUAAGUCAGGGGUGAAAUCCCGGAGCUCAACUCCGGAACUGCCUUUGAUACUGGCGAUCUAGAGAUCGAGAGAGGUGAGUGGAAUUCCGAGUGUAGAGGUGAAAUUCGUAGAUAUUCGGAAGAACACCAGUGGCGAAGGCGGCUCACUGGCUCGAUACUGACGCUGAGGUGCGAAAGCACGGGGAGCAAACAGG
rnacentral:rRNA from 1 species